GCAUAUCAAUAAGCGGAGGAAAAGAAACCAACAGGGAUUGCCUCAGUAACGGCGAGUGAAGCGGCAAUAGCUCAAAUUUGAAAUCUGGUCCUUUCAGGUCCCGAAUUGUAAUUUGUAGAGGAUGUUUCGGCUCACGCCCCGGUCUAAGUUCCUUGGAACAGGACGUCACAGAGGGUGAGAACCCCGUUUGUGGCCGGCGGCUUACGCCAUGUGAAACUCCUUCGACGAGUCGAGUUGUUUGGGAAUGCAGCUCUAAAUGGGAGGUAAAUUUCUUCUAAAGCUAAAUACUGGCCAGAGACCGAUAGCGCACAAGUAGAGUGAUCGAAAGAUGAAAAGCACUUUGGAAAGAGAGUUAAAAAGUACGUGAAAUUGUUGAAAGGGAAGCGCUUGCGACCAGACUUGCCCGCGGAUGCUCAGCCGGUCCUUCGGCCGGUGUACUCUUCCGCGGUCAGGCCAGCAUCAGUUCGGGCGGUCGGAUAAAGGCCUUGGGAAUGUAACUCACCUCGGUGAGUGUUAUAGCCCUCGGUACAAUACGGCCCGCCUGGACUGAGGAACGCGCUUCGGCUAGGAUGCUGGCGUAAUGGUCGUAAGCGGCCCGUCUUGAAACACGGACCAAGGAGUCUAACAUCUAUGCGAGUGUUUGGGUGUCAAACCCGUGCGCGAAAUGAAAGUGAACGGAGGUGGGAGCCCUCACGGGUGCACCAUCGACCGAUCCUGAUGUCUUCGGAUGGAUUUGAGUAAGAGCAUAGCUGUUGGGACCCGAAAGAUGGUGAACUAUGCCUGAAUAGGGUGAAGCAAAUAAAACUCUGGUGGAGGCUCGCAGCGGUUCUGACGUGCAAAUCGAUCGUCAAAUUUGGGUAUAGGGGGCGAAAGACUAAUCG
rnacentral:rRNA from 1 species